rnacentral:rRNA from 1 species
GACGUAGGGGGCCAGCGUUGUUCGGAAUUACUGGGUGUAAAGGGUUCGUAGGCGGUGCGGCAAGUCGGGCGUGAAAUCUCUGGGCUUAACCCAGAGGCUGCUUCCGAAACUGCUGUGCUUGAGUGUGGGAGAGGCGCGUGGAAUUGCAGGUGUAGCGGUGAAAUGCGUAGAUAUCUGCAGGAGCACCCGUGGCGAAAGCGGCGCGCUGGACCACUACUGACGCUGAGGAACGAAAGCUAGGGGAGCAAACAGG